ensembl:rRNA 5S_rRNA 5S ribosomal RNA
AUCUACGACCAUACCAUUCUUAUCCUGGAAGCUAAGCAGGGUAGGACUUGGCCAGUACUUAGAUGAAAGACUGUCUGGGAAUACCAGCCGCUGUAGGCU